UGGGGACUAGUGUAACGGCAGCACGACUGGCUCUGGACCAGUUAGUCGGGGUUCAAAUCCCUGGUCCCCAG
rnacentral:tRNA from 1 species